CAUACUUAGUGUCUUCAAGGCAGCUCUCCUCUUCCUCAUCCUCUUCUUCUUCUUCAGAAGCAGCCUUUGCCUUUAAAGCAAGGUUGGGUGAAGCUGUCUUUGACCGAACGCGAGCAAGUGCAUUGUUAGCGGUCUCGUUCAUGAUUGACAUUGCAAUGAAUUCAUCCAACACCUCACUGGAAGACAAGGAGUGGAAAUCUGGUCGUUGGCGAAUGACGGAUGACAUGGCUU
rnacentral:lncRNA from 1 species